rnacentral:lncRNA from 1 species
AUCAGCCUCCGCCGUUCCUCCUCAUCUCUGUUCCUUGGCCUCGUCAUCUCUGUCAGUCGACCGUCGUCAAGUCUAUAUUUUGAAGAAACCCUAAAAAAUUAGCAGCCACAGGUAUAUCACUAUCUUCUUUCUUAUUUAUGCUCAUGCUGGUUCUACUCUAAUAGCAGAUUUGUAAUGCCUGUUGGUUCACCUCUUCUCGUUAGGUUGCCAAAAAAUUAUAGCCUGAAUCGUCACCUCUUCUCGCGAUUCAUUGAAGGUGGAUUUCUACUCACAUUCUUGAUUGCAAGCUCUAGGUAAUUGUUAGGGAUUUCUGCAUAUUUGUAUUAGCAUUUUAUUUUUUAUUUUGUUCAAUUGUCGAGGUUCGACGAAUGAAGUAGGAUUGAGAUGUAAACUUGAGGAAUUCAAAAUUGGUAAUUUUUUAGCUUCAACUGGCUUUACUGUGUUAAAUGGAGCAUUUCAUUUUAUGAAACUGGAUUUUGUUGAUUAGUCAAAAAAAAUAUGAAGAAACUGAAUUUUGUUCAUUUUAAUCUUGGCUUGGAUUUAAACUUGGGGAAUAUUUUGAAAGUUAACUGCAGAUCAGAUGGAUGGGAAUAUUAUGUGGUGUAAGGGCAUCAUACAUUACAUACAUACAUUGAAUUCGUGCAUACAUUCACAUAUAUGUUUUCCAGUUUUUUAUUACAGUAAUAACAUGAGCCAUGUAUAUGUAUGUAUAUACUGUUGGGAGUUGGGACAUAUGUUCCAAAUAUAAUAGACAUGUGAUCUCAUUUUCUUGUAAAUUGUAUUUCUCCAUGCAUUCUUAUUCUAUACAUUUCAGUUAUAAUAGCCAUGUAUAUGUAUGUAUAUACUGUUGGGAGUUGGGACAUAUGUUCCAAAUAUAAUAGACAUGUGAUCUCAAACGAAUAUUCAGUUUUUCUUGUAAAUUGUAUUUCUCCAUGCAUUCUCCUUCUAUACAUUUCAUUCAAUGGAUUAUUGGGUACUUUUUCUAAUUCUGGGUUUCACCCUGCUUCCUUCUCCUUAUGGUUCUUGGUUGAGUUACUUGCAUUUAGUGUAUGGAUUAUUCGUUGGUUUUUUUAUGGAGGGCAGUAAGGUGUUUUAGUCAUCCCAUAAAUCAUGAUUACAUAAAUUAAUUAGCUGAGCCCGACCAUCUUUAAUCCUCCCCGACAUUACAAUCAAGCUUAGUAAGAUUAUGGGAAAACUGAUGUUCUAGCUGAAAAGUGUGGUGAAAAACACGACCCCAAAUGCAAGACCAAGUCCAAAAUAUCAUUAAGCAAACCACUCCACACCCAAAAACUAGGACUCAAACUAUUUAUCUCUGUUACUGCUAACGUAUAAUCACUUUCCACUACUACAUUCGAGGGUCGAUAUUCAGCUGCUAGUUCCAAGCUGAACAGAAUGGCCUUCACCUCUGUAUUGAGCACAUGAUCACAGCAUGAAGUUCUUUAGUCUUUAUUACCUUUAAAAAAUUAUCAAGUUUUUGAUGAGUUAUUGUUGUUUAAAAACUUGAAAAUAAAUAAAUACAAAAAAAUACAAAGGCAGUGUUUGGCUGUUUCUUUUGAUACUUCUUUUUUGUUUUUUGCUUUCAGAAGCAAAAAAUUAAAAGUGCUUUUGGAAUAGAAAGUACAUUAGAGUUUUAAAAUUCAAGAAUAAUAUAAUUAUUUUGAAGGAAAAAAGUGUAAUUUUAGUUUAUAUAUAGAAAAAGUUAAAUUAUAAUUAAUGGUUAGUCACUUUCUCAAAUUUAGCAAGUUACUAUGAUAUUAAUUUUUAAAAUUCUUUUGCUUUAAAGUAACUAUUUUAGUUAUCUUGAAGCUGGUUAAAUCCAAACUGCGACUACGAUGUGGCAUAAGUUUUUAUUAUGCUUACAGAACAAGAUAAAAUGGUCAUAUAAUUAUGUUCUAGAAAGAUAGUCACAUGAUAUAAAAAUUGUCCUCGGAAUUGAACCCUAUAUUGAAGAGACAUUAAGCCCUCAAUUUAGAAGCUGCAUGCUUUGAGCUCCCUUGAUUAGUCAUAACUUCUUCAAAGGCAAAAUGAUGAUUGUAGCAAGCAUACACACCUUUUUGCGUUUGUAGUAAAACUGGAAAAAGUUCCCUAGUUCUUGAACUUGUGUCCUCAGUUCUCACGAUAGAGCCCUCUGCUUCUAGAUUUUUUACUUAGUUCUCUGAUUUAUUUUUUUGUUCAUAUGCAGUGAAUGGUGCUUGUGGUUGAUUUGCAUCCUUGUUUUAUUGCAUUAGUCCUGUAGUCUUCCUCAUUGUUGUCUUAAGUUGGUUAUGAAUAAUUUCAACUACUAUGUUUCCCAUUGCAAUGCUUUCAUUGCAACCCUUCAUUUUAAAAUAUUGCUGUAGGCUUUCUUUUGCUUCCGUUUUCAGUUGUAUAAUUAUUUUCAUUUGUCCCUGGUUGACGUCUGGUAUUGUAUCUACUAUAUAAAUCCUUCCUCUCUUUUCCCUUGUUCUUUGUAGGAGAAACUGUUUCAAAGGAUUUUAAAGCAGCAAGAGGAAGGAUCACGGGUUACAACAACUGAUAUAGUUUCAUAUUUGCAGGUAUCUUCUAUGAUUUCUUGCUCUUAUUGUUUUGAUGAAUCUGCUUGGCUAAUGGUGGUUCUUUUACUUUAGUACCAUUCUUAUACUCAAUUUAUAUCCUUUAUAUUAAACUUAAUGCUUCAACCAACAGUGUGUUUCUGCACCACUCCGGUGAUUUCAACUGUAGUGUCCAAACAGUUAAGUACUUAAAAUAUUUACACAUUUACAAGAAUAUUGCAGGCUAAAUUUGUUAAAUCAUGACCAAAUUGAUGGAAUAUGUAAUUUAUGAUCACUAAAGUUGUUAUUUUACCAGUCAAAUUUUAUCUUAAUAUAAAAUUAAAUAAUUUUUUUGAUAAGAACAUUUAAUUUCUCAAAAAAUUAUUAAUGCAAUUAUAAUUAACUUUUGAUAUGUAUGUAUGCACUUUAGUCAUGGUAACUUUUAGUCAUAUAUGUGAUCUUAUGAAAAUCUUGCAUCUUUUUUUUGUAGUGAUCAAAUAUUUGUGUGGCAUAAUUUUGUGUAGAUGGAUUGUAAUCAACAUCAAAAUGCAAUUGUCAGAGUCGUGGCUUCAGUUUUAGCUUUUGGGGCUCUUUGGAUUAAAAAAUUAAAAACUAGGAAGGAAAUUGCUUCUCACCCUCGUGUGAAUCAAGAUUAUGAAAGAAAAAAAUUAUAUUAAUAGUAUUUUAUAUAGUGGUGACCAGCAUUGUAUUGAUGUGAUAAGGAUGAGACUGAUCACCAUUUUUAAUUUGUGUGAUAUUCUUAGUAGGAAUAAUUUGUUACAAUCAUCUAAAUCUGUCAAUAUUAGGGAGCAAGUAGUUAUAAUUUUACAUAUAAUUGGUCAUAAUGUAAGGUUUCGAGUGAUUGGAUCUAGAUAUUAUAGAUCAACUAAGACAGUUUACCGUUACAUUAGGGUUGUAUUGAGAGCUAUUUUGAAAUUGUAUAAACUAGUUAUUAGAUUACCUGAUGAGUCAACUCCUAGUGAAAUCAGAAACAAUCCAAGGUUUUAUCCUUAUUUUAAAGAUUGUAUUGGAGCAUUAGAUGGAACUCAUGUUUGUGCAUUCGUUCCACUUAGCAUUCAAGGAAGAUUUCGUAGCUGUAAAGGGGGGACGACACAAAAUGUAUUGGCUGCCAUUACAUUUGAUUUGAAAUUUUCCUAUAUUCUGGCUGGUUGGGAAGGUAGUGCACAUGAUUCUCGUAUUUUAAGUAAUGCACUUUCAUGCCCAAGAGGAUUAAGAAUUUUGAAAGGUAAUAAUUAUCAUUAAACACCAAAUAGUUUUAGUAAGCUCAUAAUUUAUUAGUAUUAAUUAUGUUUUGUAAAAUUGUAGGUAAAUAUUAUCUUGCUGAUGCUGGAUAUGGCAUCCGAAAUGGAUAUACUACCCCAUAUCGUGGUGUCCGAUAUCAUUUAAAAGAGUUUAGUGUUCAAGGGCCUGAAAAUGCAAAGGAACUCUUCAAUCUUCGUCAUUCAUCAUUACGAAUCACUAUUGAACGUGUUUUUAGGAUUUUGAAGAAACGAUUUCGUGUAUUAGAUGCUGAACCAUUUUGGAAUUUUCAAACUCAAGUAGAUAUAGUUUUGGCUUGUUGUAUCAUUCAUAAUCAUAUAAUGGGAGUUGAUCCUAGUGAUUUACUUAAUCAAGGAUUAUACGAGGAGCUUGAGUCUGAUUUGAUAAUACCAACUCUUACGGAGCGAGAAGAAAGAGAAUAACCAAGAGAAUGGUCUGCUAAGAAAGACGAAAUUGCACAAAUUAUGUGGACUAAUUAUAUGGUUAGAAAUAUUAGGUAGGUUUAAGUCUUAGGGUUAUUGUUUCUAUGUUAUGUAUGUUUAGUAUUAAAAAUUGUUUUUUUUUUUGUUAAUGUUGGUUGGAUAUUGAAAUGAUUGACAAUGACAAUUAUUAAUGUAAAAUGGGUAAGGGCAACAAAGAAGGGACCUCCAAGAAAUUCAGGUGGACAAAACUGAUGGAUCAUCUUUUUCUUGAAAUUCUAGCAGAGGAGGCCCAGAGAGGAAAUAAGCCUUCUAAUACUUUCAAAGCACUUUCUAUUAAUCGAGUUGCCGAAGCUAUUUCUAAAAGAUUUCAAGUCCAAUACGAUGCGAAGCAUGUGGAAAAUCAUUUGAGGACUGUAAAAAACCAGUGGCAGAUUAUAUGCACAAUUCGGGGUGAAAGUGGUUUUGGAUGGGAUGAUAACAUGAAAAUGAUCACAUGUGAUAGAGCGACAUAUGAUGCAGCAGUGAUGAUAAUAUAUGUAUAUAUAUGUUAAGCAUAUUUCAAUUGUUUUUUUACUUGUUAUUCUAAUUGUGUAUAAUAUCCAAUAGGCACACAAGAAGUAUGAACCAUUUUUGAAUAAAAGCAUUGAUCAUUAUAAUGAAAUGGCUUUGGUUGUUGGCAAAGAUAUGGCAACAGGGAGUUUUGCCAGAACAUUUGCUGACAUAGAUUUGGAUGAUGGUAAUCAAGAUUCAGUGCAUGUAGACUGCAACAAUGAAGAGGCUGAAGAG